rfam:Citrus clementina cultivar Clemenules unplaced genomic scaffold scaffold_9, whole genome shotgun sequence.
AUACCAUGAUGAGGACACCUUCUGAGCAAUUCCUUGAAUCUUUCCCAAGCCUCGUACAAACUCUCAUCUUCAAGUUGAGGUAAUCUCAUUCCGUAAUUUU